UACGUAGGGUCCGAGCGUUGUCCGGAAUUAUUGGGCGUAAAGGGCUCGUAGGCGGUCUGUUGCGUCGGGAGUGAAAACUUACAGCUUAACUGUGAGCGUGCUUUCGAUACGGGCAGACUUGAGGCAUUCAGGGGAGAACGGAAUUCCUGGUGUAGCGGUGAAAUGCGCAGAUAUCAGGAGGAACACCGGUGGCGAAGGCGGCUAUCUGGACGGUUUCUGACGCUAAGACGCGAAAGCGUGGGGAGCAAACAGG
rnacentral:rRNA from 1 species